CGUAGGUGACGAGCGUUAUCCGGAAUUAUUGGGCGUAAAGCGCACGCAGGCGGCCUGUCAAGUCUGACGUGAAAUCUCCCAGCUUAACUGGGAGCGGUCGUUGGAAACUGAUGGGCUUGAGGCAAGGAGAGGGGUGUGGAAUUCCCGGUGUAGUGGUGGAAUGCGUAGAGAUCGGGAGGAACAUCAGUGGCGCAAGCGGCACCCUGGCCUUGGCCUGACGCUCAGGUGCGAAAGCGUGGGGAGCGAACGGGAUUAGAUACCCCGGUAGUCCACGCCGUAAACGAUGAACACUAGGUGUGGGGGGUUUCAACACUCUCCGUGCCGCAGCCAACGCGGUAAGUGUUCCGCCUGGGGAGUACGGUCGCAAGGCUA
rnacentral:rRNA from 1 species